UGGCUCAGACGGUAAAGCGUCUGCCUGCAGUGCGGGAGACCCGGGUUCGAUUCCUGG
rnacentral:tRNA from 1 species